UACGUAGGGUCCGAGCGUUGUCCGGAAUUAUUGGGCGUAAAGAGCUCGUAGGCGGUUUGUCGCGUCUGCUGUGAAAUCCCGAGGCUCAACCUCGGGUCUGCAGUGGGUACGGGCAGACUGGAGUGCGGUAGGGGAGAAUGGAAUUCCUGGUGUAGCGGUGGAAUGCGCAGAUAUCAGGAAGAACACCAACGGCGAAGGCAGCUCGCUGGGACGGUACUGACGCUGAGACGCGAAAGCGUGGGGAGCGAACAGG
rnacentral:rRNA from 1 species